UACGAAGGGGGCUAGCGUUGCUCGGAAUCACUGGGCGUAAAGGGCGCGUAGGCGGUCUUUUAAGUCUUGUGUGAAAUCCCUCGGCUCAACUGAGGAACCGCACGGGAUACUGGAAGACUUGAGUUCGGGAGAGGGAUGCAGAAUUCCAGGUGUAGCGGUGAAAUGCGUAGAUAUCUGGAGGAAUACCGGUGGCGAAGGCGGCAUCCUGGACCGAGAUUGACACUGAUGAGCGAAAGCUAGGGGAGCAAACGGG
rnacentral:rRNA from 1 species